rnacentral:rRNA from 1 species
AGUGAACGCUGGCGGUAGGCCUAACACAUGCAAGUCGAACGGCAGCACAGUAAGCGCUUGCUCUUACGGGUGGCGAGUGGCGGACGGGUGAGGAAUACAUCGGAAUCUACUUUUACGUGGGGGAUAACGUAGGGAAACUUACGCUAAUACAGCAUACGACCUACGGGUGAAAUCAGGAGAUCUUCGGACCUUGCGCGGUUGAAUGAGCCGAUGUCGGAUUAUGUAGUCGGCGGGGUAAAGGCCCACCAAGGCGACGAUCCGGAGCUGAUCUGACAGGAUGACCCGCCACACUGGGACUGCGCCACGGUUCACACUUCUACGGGAGGCCGCAGCGGGCAAUAUUCUACAACGGGAAGAAGCCUUCUCCAGCCAUCCCGGGUGGGCCAAGCACUGCCUCGGGUUCUAAAGUCCUUUUUUUGGGAAAGAAAAGCAUUACGAUCAUACCCCGCUGCUCUGGCGUUACCCAAAGAAUAAGGCCCGGCCAACUUCGUG